rnacentral:lncRNA from 1 species
AUGGCCUUGAUUGUCAAGAACUCUUACGAUCAAUCUUGGAUCCCGAGACGACUCACACACUCUAUGAUGGACAAUGGAUGAUGGUGGUGGAUGAUGGUGUUAUGGUGGUGGUGGAUGGUGGAUGAAGUGUGAGAGAGGUGGUGUGCCAAGGGAUGAGAUGGAAUGAAGCCAACACCCCUAUUUAUAGGCUGAACAGAAGGCUGGGCACGGCCCCGUGUCCGCUGGACACGCCCCCGUGCCCGUCUGACACUCUCUCUCUUCAUUAAUUGUAAUUCGCAAUUACAAUUAAUGCGCCUGUUGUACUUUCACCACGCCCCCGUGCCCGCUGGACACGGCCCCGUGGUGGGCAAUGGAAGCUUCUACUAGUUUGUCUUUUCUGCUGCUUCUUGGGCACGGCCCCGUGUCCGCUGGACACUGGGCGUGUUCAGUCUUCUGUUUUCUCUUCUUUGCCUUGGGGGGUGCCGUUGAGGGUCCGGGCAGUCUACUUUCAUUCCUUUUCUUGUAUUUAUGCUAGAAUUAGUUGUCUUUUUGCUUCUUUUGUGAUUUUGAGCUCAUUUCAUCCUGAAAAUACAAAAGAAAGACAAAAACACUCUUUUUCCAACAUUAGUACUUAAAAAGGGUUAGUUUUAUGCCUUAAUUGAUGUGAUUUAUAUGUUGCAUUUUACACACAUCAAUGAGCAACGAGGAAAGGGUUGUAUAGACUGGGCUUCAUCCUAUAUCGACCGUAACUGUGUAAAAUAGAUGGAUAUAGAAUUACCUCCUUGUUGAGUAGACGUUAUCUUUUGUUUUAGUUUGUAUGCCCUAGGGGCACUCUCCUUCCCGAAACGUUCAUCGAGAUCUGCCCAUAUCUCUGAUGUUUUGCUCGCAUACUUCACGCUAUUUCGAAUAUUUUUCUCCACCACCAGACCCUUCUCCAUCCUUGUUCUUGUUUUGUGGGUCAUCUCCUGCCAUAUUCUUGCGAUUGAUCGAGAGAAAGAUUGUUGAAACCUUGCUCUGAUACCAUAUAGAAUUUGAUAUUGCAAGAGAAUGAGAAUAUUACUUUCUUAUUCAAAAUAGUUCUGA